AAAUCAUGUUGAGUGCAACUUCUAAUAAAGCCCUUUUAUCAUUCCCAAGCUUCAUAUAAGGACUCUCCCACCCCUUGUUGAAAGUUAGCAAUCUUCUUUUUAAGCUU